GAGCGCGUCAUGGAGUGAAGGGGGAUGGGUGGCCCCCUGAGGCCCACCGGGCACAGCCUUCCUUAGGUGGACCCUACAGCUCUUGGCAGGUCCUUAAGAAGAUGACGUCCCUUCAGAGGUCUCCAUGGGGCUUUUCGGGAAAGAGGAGGAGUGCUGUGUUCAGUCUGGCGCCGGGUCGGCAAAGCGGGGUACACACAUUCCAGAGGGUGUGGAAGAUCGUCCGUGGGGUCCGGGAAAGGAACCAUUAGUCUGUUUAAUGUUUGCCUUCGGGGAAAGAGAAAGCUGUGCAGCGUUAUCAACAUCAAAUGCCUAUGAACUCUGGCCCCUGACCCCUGAGGGUGGUGAGGGAGGGGAGCCCUGAGGGAGAAGUGGGGCCUGCAGCUUGGGGCAACGGCCACGGCCACGGGCCGGCUGAAGGGGAGAGAUUCGAUUCUCUACACUCAAGUAAGCUAACUCGGAAAAUGACAGGUGGCUUUAAGUCAUCCUUGUAAGGGAACCUGGGACUGGAGAGGACCGUGAUUUGGAAAUCAGUGUGAGCGGCCCUUGGAUGGCAGAACUGACUUUUCUCACCUUUGCGGGAGCUUGUAGUGAGCCAGGUUAUGAGGUCAAACCACAGAGCCUCCCGCAGAUCUGACCAGGAGAUGGCCAAACCGCUGGGACUUUACAUCCGUAGGCGCUGAUGUCCGCCGUGGCCUGAUCACCAGAGAAAAGUAAGACACUUACAAAUACUGUUAAUUUCAUCUUGAUUGCACCCUUUUCAAUCUUUUUUGCAGAUGUUUUUCCUUAUAUGGAAAAUGUAAUGUGUACGUAAAUAGAUAGAUACAACGUAUAAAAUAAGACAAAGAGAACCUAUGUGGAGGCGUGAACAGAGCUUUGUCUGCAGGUAAGGGCGGGCGGGCAGCGCAAACACUGGAGGAUGGCUGAUCGAGUUUUUCAAACUGGAGGUGCCUCAGAAUUACCAGGAGGCUUGUUAAAACACAGGUCGCUGGGCCCACCUUCAGGGUUUCCGAGUCACUCCCUCUGGGGUGGGACUUGAGAGUCUGGGCUUCUAACAGGUCCCCAGGCGCUGUUGCCGCAUCUGGGGCCUGUGGGGUCUACGGGAGUGGGCCCAGUCCAAGGGGAAGCAGGCCGACGCUAGGCCACGUCAGCCUGCCUCAUGGUGAAGACCAGGGUCUCCCUGAAGACCAUGGAUAGCCACCGCCCAGCUGGCCACACAGCCUGGAAGUCUCCCACAGAGACAGAUCCUUUAGCCUGAAGCCUGGCUUUGCAGCCAUGUCUGGAAAGCGAGGAGGGCAAGAAACAGCACUAAGGGACCGCUCAGCUGCCUGGGGCACAGGUGCAGGGUAAGGGGCUUAGAGCCCACCUACUUACCUCACCUGAGGACACAGGGCUUGGAACUCUCAGGCUGUGAUGUCGCAGAGAUCUGAUGGCAUCCCUGCAGGGACUCGCUAGCUUUUGACCUCAAAUCUUCAAUAAGGGAGUCUCUUGAAAACCAGAAGCAGUAACACACCAAGGGAUGUAGUUCUGAUGGCGGGAUUUCAAGCUCAGGCUAGGAGAGGCAACCUGCUGUGCCAAAGGCCACCGAGUCAGGGCUUUGGACUCAGACCUGGAAGCAGAUCCUGCCCUCCUGCUUUGUGUUGUGACAGCCUCCUCCUCAAAGGGGCUUUUAUAUUUUAAAAAUAGCAAAUCCAAAGUGAAACCCCUCAAAUGUCACCGCAACAUGGAGCAAUCUGACCUUUCAUCCUCGUUGAUGGAGGCGAGCGAGGCAAGGACCCCCACAGAUGGAUGGCGUGAGAGGAAAAGCUGAAUCCGGGCGCAGCUGUGCGCGCGGUGCGGGGUGGACGCGGCCGGCUCCCCCUCAGCUGGCCGACCGACACCGGCGUUAAGGCCCGAGAAGCUGCAGCGAAUGUCCCGGGUUCAGUGGCUGCACAGCUGGCCAGUGGGCAGCCGCUUCCUUCGAGAUGGACCCAGGGGAUGGCAUCGAGACAGCAAGGGCCGCCUGUCUGUACCCUGCCUCCUGGGAUGCCUGGGGCACUGGCGGUCUCCUGGGCUCUCCCCACCUCAUGCUUUCAUCUGAGCCUUUACCCGGCCACGCACAGCUACCGACCCAGGACCUCUGAGAGCAGAGGUCUGGCCCUCUGCCUGCUUUUGCCUGGCCCGUGAGCUGAGAAGAGUUUUCACACUCUGAAAUGGUGUGAAAUUCUUAAAAAAAAAAAAAAAAAAAGUAAUAUUUUGUGACAUGUGACAGUCACACAAUUCAAAUGUCAGUGUCCAUAAAUAGGGCCUUGUUCCCUCGUUGUGUAGUCUUGGGCCACUUUCACGCUACAGGCAGGGCUGGAGGAGGGGCGACAGAGGACAGAUGGCCAGAAAAACCUGAACUACCUAUUAUCUGGUGCUUUGCAGAGAAAGUGUGCCGAUCCCUGACUUAGAUCCCUCCUUCCUGGGGCAUUUGAACUUUAAUUGACUCUCCUGUCUUAAGCAGCAGAGAUGAAGUCCUUCAUGGCAGACUCUAGACGCCUAUCCACGGCAAGUGGCUCCCUCCGGCUGACUCGGCCAGGAGAGGUAUGGGGAAAAUUAGAGCCGAGGAACAAAGAGCCCCCAGGUUGUGAAAGAGCAGACUGGAGUUUCUAAUUCUGGCUUCAACUAACUAAUAAUUAUGUGAUCUGAGUGAAACAGCUUCUCCCAUCCUGGUGCUUUUCUCAUCCAUUCAGAAUCUGCCCUCUUGGCCUCAAACGGGGAGAUAAUAGCUGUGAAAUGCUUUGUGAUCUAAAAUGCUUUGUGAUCUAAAGCAUCACUCAAAUGCAAAGAUCAGCCAGGCUCUGGAAUCCUGAUAAGGUACAUUACUUCCUCUCCAGGCGAAGGGAGCAGAAGGGACCGCAAGUGUCGCCAUGCUGUUCUCAUCCAUCCCGUCAAGAUGCUUGGUUUGGCAACAAGACUGUGGCAGAUCCGUGGCAUCUGUGCCGUUGACGUUCAGUCAUUCCCAAACCACCCGGAAGGUCCCCGGCUGUCCACUUGUCAUUUUGCUGAGACACAGAACCGACUUACGCGGUUGCUGCUCACUGAGUGAAUCUAGCGGACGGACAAGCAGCCUCAUCCCAGGACGGCUCCCUCUUCUCUUGUUAGAACAGAUGUAAUAACUAAUAAAGUGAUUUAAAACUU